rnacentral:rRNA from 1 species
UACGAAGGGGGCUGGCGUUGCUCGGAAUCACUGGGCGUAAAGCGCACGUAGGCGGAUUGCUAAGUCAGGGGUGAAAUCCUGGAGCUCAACUCCAGAACUGCCUUUGAUACUGGCGACCUUGAGUCCGGGAGAGGUGAGUGGAACUGCGAGUGUAGAGGUGAAAUUCGUAGAUAUUCGCAAGAACACCAGUGGCGAAGGCGGCUCACUGGCCCGGUACUGACGCUGAGGUGCGAAAGCGUGGGGAGCAAACAGG